UCAGGUGAAGAUAGCAUAAGGGCUCCACCUCUUCCCAUUCCGAACAGAGAAGUUAAACCUUGUAACGCCGAUGGUACUGCGAAAGCGGGAGAGUAGGUAAUCGCCACCU
rnacentral:rRNA from 1 species